rnacentral:rRNA from 1 species
CCUACGGGAGGCAGCAGUGAGGAAUAUUGGUCAAUGGACGAGAGUCUGAACCAGCCAAGUAGCGUGAAGGAUGACUGCCCUACGGGUUGUAAACUUCUUUUAUAUGGGAAUAAAAUGUUCCACGUGUGGGAUUUUGUAUGUACCAUAUGAAUAAGGAUCGGCUAACUCCGUGCCAGCAGCCGCGGUAAUACGGAGGCUCCGAGCGUUAUCCGGAUUUAUUGGGUUUAUAGGGAGCGUAGGUGGAUUGUUAUGUCGGUUGUGAAAGUUUGCGGCUCAACCGUAAAAUUGCAGUUGAAACUGGCAGUCUUGAGUACAGUAGAGGUGGACGGAAUUCGUGGUGUAGCGGUGAAAUGCUUAGAUAUCGCGAGGAACUCCGGUGGCGAAGGCAGUUCACUGGACUUCAACUGAAACUGAGGCUCGAAGGUGUGGGUAUCAAACGGGAUUAGAUACCCGUGUAGUC